rnacentral:rRNA from 1 species
UACAGAGGUCCCGAGCGUUGUUCGGAUUCACUGGGCGUAAAGAGCUCGUAGGCGGUUUGUUGCGUCGGCUGUGAAAUCCCGAGGCUCAACCUCGGGUCUGCAGUCGAUACGAGCAAACUAGAGUGUUGCAGGGGAGACUGGAAUUCCUGGUGUAGCGGUGAAAUGCGCAGAUAUCAGGAGGAACACCGGUGGCGAAGGCGGGUCUCUGGGCAACAACUGACGCUGAGGAGCGAAAGCGUGGGGAGCGAACAGG